rnacentral:sRNA from 1 species
GCCUGCGCUCCCUGGGCUAUGACCUGCCCAUGGUGGAGGAAGGGGAACCUGACCCUGAGUUCGAGGCAAUCCUGGACACGGUGGAUCCGAACAGGUAAAUUAAUUAAGGCCAGGUGCUGUGAGCCUCUGCCCUGGGCACCCACCUGCCCUCCCUGCUCAGGCUCUUGCUUCUCCCCCUCCUAGAGAUGGCCAUGUCUCCCUGCAAGAAUACAUGGCUUUCAUGAUCAGCCGCGAAACUGAGAACGUCAAGUCCAGCGAGGAGAUUGAGAGCGCCUUCCGGGCCCUCAGCUCAGAGGGAAAGCCUUACGUGACCAAGGAGGAGCUCUACCAGAACCUGACCCGGGAACAAGCCGACUACUGCGUCUCCCACAUGAAGCCCUACGUGGACGGCAAGGGCCGCGAGCUCCCCACCGCGUUCGACUACGUGGAGUUCACCCGCUCGCUUUUCGUGAACUGAGCCACUCCCUGGGUCACCCACCCCUCGCUGCUUGCCCUGCGUCGCCUUGCUGCAUGUCCGCUCCUCUGUGUGCUCUCACUUUCCACUGUAACCUUAAGCCUGCUUAGCUUGGAAUAAGACUUAGGAGAAAAUGGUGCUUCACUAACCCGCUUCCGGUCCAGUCACAAUCAUCACGUCACUGUGGGGACCCAGAUCUGUGUCUUGAAGCAGCUGCCCUCAUUCCGACUUCAGAAAAUCGAAGCAUCUGGCUCCUCCCCUUGUUCUCUCUCCCACCCUCCCGCAAAUCUGUUUUCAUGUAAAAGACAAAUAAAUGAUGACUUCCCCCAAA